rnacentral:lncRNA from 1 species
GUAAUUUACAAACCUAAAAUUCAAAAAUAAAAAUAUAAUGGUGUGUUCCUAAUAAUUAUACAAAACAAAAUGAAGAAUGAAGUUAGAAUGAAUGAACAUGAGUAUAAUUUAUGAGCAAAGAAGAUGAAUUAUUGAGUUGUAAGCAUGAAUUAUGUAAUUUAUAAGCAAAGCAAGUUACUAAAAAAGAAAGAAGUAAAACCUAAUUCCAUUUCUAGCUAGUUGUUAAAGCGGUGAGAAGUUGAGUAUGAGAAUUACCAGAAACAGAAAUUAAGUUAAGAAAAAGCAAAAGCAUUUCAUUACAGAGAAUCAGAAUCUGAAAUUCAAACUAAAAAUUCAAAGAGAGAGA